rnacentral:rRNA from 1 species
GUGCCAGCCGCCGCGGUAAGACGAACCGAGCGAACGUUGUUCGGAAUCACUGGGCUUAAAGGGCGCGUAGGCGGGCAUUCAAGUCCGUGGUGAAAUACCUCAGCUCAACUGAGGAACUGCCUCGGAUACUGGGUGCCUCGAGGGUGGUAGGGGUAUGCGGAACUAUCGGUGGAGCGGUGAAAUGCGUUGAUAUCGAUAGGAACUCCGGUGGCGAAGGCGGCAUACUGGACCACUUCUGACGCUGAGGCGCGAAAGCCAGGGGAGCAAACGGGAUUAGAUACCCCUGUAGUCC